rnacentral:rRNA from 2 species
GCUUACCAUGCAGUCGAACGAUGAAGCCCAGCUUGCUGGGUGGAUUAGUGGCGAACGGGUGAGUAACACGUGAGUAACCUGCCCUUAACUCUGGGAUAAGCCUGGGAAACUGGGUCUAAUACCGGAUAGGAGCGUCCACCGCAUGGUGGGUGUUGGAAAGAUUUAUCGGUUUUGGAUGGACUCGCGGCCUAUCAGCUUGUUGGUGAGGUAAUGGCUCACCAAGGCGACGACGGGUAGCCGGCCUGAGAGGGUGACCGGCCACACUGGGACUGAGACACGGCCCAGACUCCUACGGGAGGCAGCAGUGGGGAAUAUUGCACAAUGGGCGAAAGCCUGAUGCAGCGACGCCGCGUGAGGGAUGACGGCCUUCGGGUUGUAAACCUCUUUCAGUAGGGAAGAAGCGAAAGUGACGGUACCUGCAGAAGAAGCACCGGCUAACUACGUGCCAGCAGCCGCGGUAAUACGUAGGGUGCGAGCGUUAUCCGGAAUUAUUGGGCGUAAAGAGCUCGUAGGCGGUUUGUCGCGUCUGUCGUGAAAGUCCGGGGCUUAACCCCGGAUCUGCGGUGGGUACGGGCAGACUAGAGUGCAGUAGGGGAGACUGGAAUUCCUGGUGUAGCGGUGGAAUGCGCAGAUAUCAGGAGGAACACCGAUGGCGAAGGCAGGUCUCUGGGCUGUAACUGACGCUGAGGAGCGAAAGCAUGGGGAGCGAACAGGAUUAGAUACCCUGGUAGUCCAUGCCGUAAACGUUGGGCACUAGGUGUGGGGACCAUUCCACGGUUUCCGCGCCGCAGCUAACGCAUUAAGUGCCCCGCCUGGGGAGUACGGCCGCAAGGCUAAAACUCAAAGGAAUUGACGGGGGCCCGCACAAGCGGCGGAGCAUGCGGAUUAAUUCGAUGCAACGCGAAGAACCUUACCAAGGCUUGACAUGUUCUCGAUCGCCGUAGAGAUACGGUUUCCCCUUUGGGGCGGGUUCACAGGUGGUGCAUGGUUGUCGUCAGCUCGUGUCGUGAGAUGUUGGGUUAAGUCCCGCAACGAG